rnacentral:lncRNA from 9 species
GUUUUUAAGGAAAAGUGGGUCCUGAUGAAUGGAGUGUCCUUGUUUUGGUGGCUACUGAAUAGGUGUGAGUCUGCAAGUUUGCUGAAUUAUUCUGCAUAAUAAAGACCAAGACUUGGAGCCAAAAUCUAUAUCUGCCUGUGAUUAUAUUCUCAUGCUGCUGUAAAAAAAAAAAAAAAAAAAAAAGAAAGAAAGAAAAAGAAAAAAAAAAUCAGACUUCGUGGCUGAAAAAAAACAAAAGCCAUCGAGGCAUGAGUCUGAAUCUGAAUUUGUGCACAGAGCUUUGCAAACUCAGGAAACGUCUCUGUCAGAGUCCUGCCUCCCUGAAUUCUGGAUAAAUGUCUGUGGCUUGAACAGUCACUGGGAUACCAAGAGCUUCUGCUGAGACAAUGCCUCUCUCUAGAGGCUCUUCAAGAGGAACAGAAAUAGUUUUGUUUGAAAUAAAAUGAUUACUUUUUUCAAGAUGGUCACUUACAUACUUCCAUUCACAUGAAUCCACAACUGAAAGACAGCAUGUAAACAUUUUAUUUCCUUUUAAAACUAAAAUGUCCAGUCUCUUGUCUUCCGGCUAAGGCGGCACAUAUCUGGGUUUGACAUCUCUGGGUUUUUACCUGUUGUUCCAGCACUGCAUCCAAUUUUGCACUUGUCCUGGAAUUUUUAAUUUUAAUUUUCUAUUGUGAAUUGUUGCAUUAAAAUAAGCAUAGAUAAGUUUGGUAUAGCUCC